GACGGAGGAGGCAAGCGUUAUCCGGAAUUAUUGGGCGUAAAGGGUACGUAGGCGGCUGGUCAAGUCUGGGGUUAAAGGACACAGCUCAACUGUGGGAAGGCCCUGGAAACUGACCGGCUAGAGUGAGGUAGGGGUUGCGGGAAUUCCCGGUGUAGCGGUGAAAUGCGUAGAGAUCGGGAAGAACACCUGAGGCGGAAGCGCGCAACUGGGCCAUUACUGACACUGAGGGACGAAAGCUAGGGGAGCGAAGGGG
rnacentral:rRNA from 1 species